AACGCACCUUGCGCUCCUUGGUAUUCCGAGGAGCAUGCCUGUUUGAGUGUCAUGUAUUCCUCAGCCUCUCUUGGAUUUUUCUGAGAUGAAGCUGGAUGUGGAGGCUGCAGGUUUUAUUCAUAAAAUCAGCUCCUCUUAAAUGCAUUAGUGUGAAUGUUGCUCAAUGUUCCCCAGUGUAAUAAUUACUUGCGCUGUUGGAGCUUGUGCAAAAAUAUAAAAGUUCAUGCUUACAACAGUCCCUUCAAUGGGCCAUCUUAUACUUUGCAUUUGACCUCAAAUCAGGUAGGAUUACCCGCUGAACUUAA
rnacentral:rRNA from 1 species